ensembl:lncRNA
CUUUGUGAUUGCUGGGGGGGAUAGUCCAGGUUCUGCCCAGAUGUCCUGCCACGGCACUGUGCAAGGAGCGGUCUGAACGUGUGCAGAGAGCGAAGGUGAGUGACGUGAGGAAGUGAGCCUGCCCAGCGCCACCAGCACCCUGCCUGCCACCGCUGGGCUCCGUGGCUAAUCCCAGCCCUGUCCUUCAGUGUGUGCAACCCAGGGCCUCAGGCCAUCUCCCUGCAAAGCGGUGCAUCCCCUGGUGCUUGCCCUACCUGCUCCGCUCCUGGGGGUGCCACAUGCUUCUCCAAAAGGAACUCAAAGCUCAGCAGUGCUGGGAAUGUGGUGGAGCCUCCCCUCUGUCUGAGGGCAGCCUUUCUUCUCCAGGAAAUCUGCAUCCUCCAUCUCUAGAGCCAAAGCACUCCUUUGCUGUGAUUGCUGCCUUUGAAGCAAGCUAAACUUUCCAAGUGCAAGCUCCAGCCAAGCUUGGGCUCUGGCUCAGCGCUCUUGACACAAAGUGUUCUCCAGCCCUGGGAUAUAUAACCUUCCAAGUCUUCCCACAGCUCCUGGGCCGUGGCUUGGCAGCAGUGCUUCCCUGCGCUGGGCAGAAGCAGGUUAGAUCCAAGCCUGAGAAACCAGCGUUGCUGUAAUGAUACACAAAAUAGAAAUCUCCACCUAACCCAGGACAAAAUGCUGUGCAAUCACUUUUGGAUCGCUGUGGGCUGCUUUCGCCGCAGACGCGAAGUCUGACAUCCAAAUGCACAACAGAAGAUCACCGAGACUUUGCAAAAUGCUCUAGGUGACAUAAACCGCAGUUUAAUGUGUUAGCAUUUGCCCGUCUGGGGGAUUCCUGAGGCUCAGCCAGCAGCGGGGCUGUGGGAAAGGAGGAGCGCAAACACCGCUGUCCUCUGCUGACCCGGCUUGUGCUGCUGCGUCGCUGACAGCCAUAAUAGGGAGCUCUGCGGAGAGGACUGGGUGUCUCGUCCCUGUCCUCGUCCCCUUUCUCAUUACCGUGGAUGAAUUCAAGCACUUAACAGCUUUUGGCUGCUAACUGCAGCUCGGGAUCGUCGGUAACAAACUGCGUCGUGGUGUGCAGCACUGACAGCCCCGAGUGACGCUGCCCGACCGAGUGCUGCUUGCAGCUGCAGCCCCG